AAAAAAUGGUUAUUUGCAAAUGAGAAUGGUUUUCAGGAACUUAGCCGCUUAGACCUUGGCAGAUUCCUUGGACUAGGUAUUGGAUCGGUAGAGCACA